UCCCAUGUGGUCUAGUGGUUAGGAUCUGGCGUUUUCACCGCCGUGGCCCGGGUUCGAUUCACGGCAUGGGAA
rnacentral:tRNA from 1 species